AACGGCCGUACCAUGCUAAAUAUACCGGUUCUCGUUAGAUCACCGAAGUCAAGCAUCAUUGGGCGCGGUCAGUACUUGGGUGGGUGACCACCUGGGAACACCGCGGGCCGUU
rnacentral:rRNA from 1 species